GUCCCGGUGGCCGAGUGGUUAAGGCGAUGCCCUGCUAUUAAUCAAGAUAGCAAUUAGGCAUUGGGCUAUGCCUUCGCAGGUUCGAAUCCUGUCCGUGACG
rfam:Zygosaccharomyces rouxii strain CBS732 chromosome E complete sequence.